AUAAAUCAAGACAUGUGCUGAAGUGUCGCUUCUCUCACAUUUUUUCCUAGCAUCUUUCACGACAGGCACUUUAAUUCGCUCUUUCUGAACCUUAGUGUGAGGUUUAGCUGGCAGCACAUGCCUUCUUCAGUGAGUCUUUGUGUGUCACAGUUUCGCGUUUCAACUCUCCGGGCCCCGCUGCCCUCCAAAACCGGAGUUCAAAGCACAACGUCAGCCUGAGCUCUGGGAUAUCUCGAUAAGAGCGCGACUAAUAGAAACCACAUUGAACCGGGGCGAUUAUACGGUACGCCGGCUCAAAGAGAAGCGAUGGUUGCGGCAGCUGGCAGCGUCGCGUUUGUGCGACCCUCUACCCAGAUAAGCUCCAGUGUCGGCUCCAGUUCCCGAGUAUAGCCCACGAAGGGCUCCUGCCCCCAGUGAGGACUCCAGAUAUCCCGUUAAGCCCAGGGAGAGCUCCAGAUCGGGAGGGCUCCAGAUCCCCAGUUAAGCCCCUGGAGUGCUCCUGAUCCCGGGGGGAGGGGGCAUGUGGUAGUAAGGCUCCAGCUGUAGAGGCUGGGGUGGGGGCUGGGUCUGUGGCCUCAGAGGCGGCUCGGCCAUAGCUUCCUGAACAGUUUGAUCCACCAUGGCGCCCAGAGCUGCCAGAUCCCCCAUGGUGCCCGAACUGCCAGAUUCGUCAUGGGUCCCGGAACGGGCGCCGCCCUAGAGGCCUUCUGCUCCUAGAGGCCUCCAGAAAGCGCCAACCCACCCCCAAAUCCUCGUUGGAUGUUAUACGGCGCGAGGCGCGCCUUCCGGGAGGGGGGAAGCUCUGCUCCGUGUUUUGUGUGUGUUUUGCUCCCCAUGUGCCUUCCUUGCCCUUAUUUGGUCUUUCCUGUCCUCGUUGUGUGAAUUCAUAUCCAGCUGUGUUUGAUUUAUUAGUUAAUUUGCUCCCAGGUGUGUCCUAUUUGGUGUCUACGUAUUUAAAGUGUUCCCAAUUCCUAGUUCUCUGUUUGCUGUUAAACAUCAUACCUGUUUGUAUCCCUUUGCUUUGUUUAAUUAAAAUUUAAGUUUGUUUAUUCUCCUGGAUCUCCUCGUUCCAUCCCCGAGUGACUGUGACAAAUAAACAAAUAUAAUGUAAGAAAUAAUUUAAAUAGAGCAUUUGAAAACAAAUAUGCAAAUAAACAAUAUGUAAUGUAAGAAAGAAACUAUUUAAAUCGUGCAUUACUUUUUCAUCUUGCAUCUAAAAAUCAUUUAGUGUAUUAUGAAUAAACUGAUUA
ensembl:lncRNA